UACGAAGGGGGCUAGCGUUGUUCGGAAUUACUGGGCGUAAAGCGCGUGUAGGCGGGCCGUUAAGUCGGGGGUGAAAGCCCAGAGCUCAACUCGGGAACUGCCUUCGAUACUGGCGGCCAGGAGCAUGAUAGAGGCGAGUGGAAUUGCGAGUGUAGAGGUGAAAUUCGUAGAUAUUCGCAGGAACACCAGUGGCGAAGGCGACUCGCUGGAUCAUUGCUGACGCUGAGACGCGAAAGCGUGGGGAGCAAACAGG
rnacentral:rRNA from 1 species